CGAAGCUGUGAAGGUCAUGAUAGACAUCCUAAGAAAGAUGAGCCAGAAUAAUCUGGCUGAAUGGUUGGAGAAUGAACACAAGCGAGCUCAGACUGAGGGCGAUAUAAAGACAUCUGGAGAGCUGAAAAACUUUUUAAAAGUCACAAAGCAAACAUGAAGAAGAGCGUAGAAUAUAUCAUUGAGGGCAACAUAGAA